GGAGAACAGACCUAUGAGCGUUCCCUAGGAAGGGAAAAAAGUGAAUGGAGAAUGGGAGAGAAGCGGGAGCUGUGGACCGGGUGUUGAAGUUACCGUGGCUCUGUGGACUCAGUCGUCUCCAGUGGGGCCGAAGUUGGACGUCUCGCUGUCCAGGAGACUGAGCGGUCUGAGCAGGGAAAGUUUGGAGCUCCGCGUGAUUGGAAAGAAUGAAGAUUUCUUCUCACCAACCCCUCUUCACCCGUCGGAGCCAGAAGGAUGUGUGGAUAGACGGCUUAAGAACAGUAAGUAACGUGAGCUGUUUUCUUCCAUCCCUGUUCAGGAUUCGUUGCAACAGAGCUGAGGUUUGCUUGUUGGAGGCGUUUGGGAUAAGCACGCACUCCUUGAAGGGAAGGGAGCUUCCUGCCACGUUUGCGUUGUUUGAUGUGAAUUCUGGUUGACUUAGCUGGUUUUUACUGGUGACAAUCAACGUUCUCAGUGCUGCUUCCUCUUGUGAUCUGUGAUGCUGAGCUUUGUGUGGCAUGGAACAUACGCGUGCUAGUGUAGUAGUUUAAGAUACCCUGUGAGUAUCACAGGCACUAGCUCUGGGGUUGCUUCUGUGAGCUAAGCACCCCUUGUACAUUUCCCUUUUAAGUUCCAG
rnacentral:lncRNA from 1 species